rnacentral:rRNA from 1 species
GUCUUUGGACAUACCACCCUGAAUGCACCCGAUCUCAUCUGAUCUUGGAAGUGAAAUGGAGUCAGGCCUGGUUAGUCUUUGGAUGGGGGAAGUCUAGACACA